rnacentral:rRNA from 1 species
UACGGGGGGGGCAAGCGUUGUUCGGAAUUACUGGGCGUAAAGGGCGCGUAGGCGGUCUGCUAAGCGUGUGGUGAAAGCUCGGGGCUCAACCCCGAGUCUGCCAUGCGAACUGGUGGACUUGAGCACUGUAGAGGCAGGUGGAAUUCCGGGUGUAGCGGUGGAAUGCGUAGAGAUCCGGAAGAACACCAGUGGCGAAGGCGGCCUGCUGGGCAGUUGCUGACGCUAAAGCGCGACAGCGUGGGGAGCAAACAGG